rnacentral:rRNA from 1 species
AUGCCUGAACUACACGCUGUUUAUCAAAUAUCUACUGCGCCAUUUACUCCUUUUUUUCUAGAAUAUACGUGCACAAACGACCAAGGCCGCACUAUUGGUUUCAUCACCAUAGACUGCGGCCAGGAGCAGGGCAGCUACACGGACCCCAUCACCAAGAUACCUGUCACGUCGGACGCCGGCUUCACAGACGCCGGCUACAACUACAACAUCUCGGCCGAGUACAUGAAGCCACAGCCCCAGCUGGCCAAGACCUACCACACCGUGCGCGGCUUCCCGGACACGGCUUGCGGCUGCUACACCCUACCGUCCCUCGUGCCGGGGUCCAAGUACCUGAUCCGGGCCUUCUUCAGGUACAGCAACUACGAUGGGCUCAACAAGCUCCCCAUCUUUGAUCUCUACCUCGGCGUCAACUUGUGGCGAACGGUGAACAUCACCCGGGCCGAGUGGACGGUGCUGGCCGAGGUCAUGGCCGUGAUCCCGGACGAGUCGGUGCAGGUUUGCCUGGUGAACAUCGGCUCAGGGACGCCGUUUAUCUCCUCGCUGUCCCUGAGGCCCUUGGAGAACACAAUGUAUCAGCAGGUGAACGCGACGCAGGGGCUUGGCCUCGUCGACAGACGCAAUAUGGGCGGCGCGGGUAGCUACCCAAUCAGGUACCCGGACGAUCCAUACGACCGGGCCUGGAUGCCGCGGAGCAACCCGAAUUUGUGGUUGGACAUCUCAACAAAGGAGAAGGUCCAAGAGAGUGUGGGCAACCUCCGCCUCCAUGUGCCGUCCACCGUGAUGCAGACCGCUGUCACGGCGCUCAACGGCUCCAAGUCCAAGACCGUCGAGGUGUCUUGGGAGACGGAGCUGGACCACGUCCACCCAACGCCCGGAUGCAUUGCCAUCCUGUAUACCGCCGAGCUGCAGAUCCUAGCCGGCAACGACGUGCGCCAGUUCAACAUCAUCGUCGACGACGGGCCGACUGAUCUCCCGCACACGCCUGAGUACCUUGUCACCCACGGUUUUGCGAACAUCGAACCUCACAAGUGCUUAAGCCGGUACAACUUCACCGUGACUGCCACGGCCAACUCGACACUGCCACCGAUCAUCAACGCCUUCGAGUAUUUCUCCGUCAUCUCUACAGCCAACGUUGGCACAGACAUUCAGGACGUUUCUGCUAUUCAUGGCAUCAAGACUAAGUAUAGGGUGAAGAGGAAUUGGAUGGGUGAUCCCUGCGCUCCAAAGACUUUUAAAUGGGAUGGGUUGUCCUGCAGCUAUGCUAUCUCUGGGCGUCCAAGAAUCACAAGAAUAAAUAUGUCAUCUAAUGGUUUGAGCGGUGAUAUAUCAUCUUAUUUCGACGAUCUCAAAGAUAUCCAGUCCUUGGAUUUGUCAUACAACAAAUUGAGAGGAUCAAUUCCUAAUGUUCUUUCACAACUACCAUCUCUCGUGUUCUUAGAUUUGACAGGUAACCAACUUAAUGGAUCCAUCCCCUCUAGGCUUCUAAAGAGAAGUCAAGAUGGCACCCUAACUCUAAGGAGGAGCAAAGGACAAGACCAUCAACACCUGGACAACCACCGAUUCACGUACAAGGAGCUACAGACCAUAACAGACAACUUCAAGAUAGUACUCGGCCAAGGAGGGUUUGGAACUGUUUAUGAUGGCUUCUUGCAGGAUGGUACUCAAGUGGCAGUGAAGUUGCGGUCUCAAUCCUCCAGUCAAGAUGUAAGAGAGUUUUUGACAGAGGCUCAGACAUUAACGAAGAUUCAUCACAAGAAUCUUGUAUCAUUAGUUGGUUAUUGCAAGGAUGGGGUGUAUUUGGCUCUUGUCUACGAGCAUAUGUCUGAAGGAAAUCUAGAAAAGAAACUCAGAGGGAGAGAUUGCAAUGAUGUACCCUUAACCUGGAGACAGAGGCUUUGCAUUGCACUACAAUCCGCACAAGGGCUCGAGUAUUUGCACAAGUCGUGCAGCCCGCCCUUCGUGCAUCGUGACGUCAAGACAUCAAACAUCCUACUAAAUAAAAAUCUUGAGGCCAAAGUUGCCGACUUUGGCUUGAUGAAGGCUUUCAAUCAUGAUGACGAUACACAUAUAUCCACGGCCCGGGUGAUUGGAACACGAGGCUACCUCGCCCCUGAGUAUGCAAGGGCCCUACAAUUGAACGAAAAAAGUGAUGUACAUAGCUUUGGGGUCGUGCUACUGGAGGUAAUUACAGGUCAACCCACCAUCCUUCAAUCUACAGAGGUCAUCCAUAUUGUCCAAUGGGCACGUCAACACCUUUCGGGAGGCAACAUUGAGGAAGUGGUUGAUGCCCGCAUGCAAGGUGACUACAAUGUGAACAACAUGUGGAAGGUCGUGGAUCUUGCACUCAAGUGCACCGAGCAUGACCCCGUGCAACGGCCCACAAUGACUAAUGUGGCUUCCCAACUGCAAUAUUGCCUUGAGUUAGAGGGUGAAAACCAAACUAGACAUAAUGCUAACACUACCUUCUACACGAUGAAAGAUAGCUGUGGCGUCCGUGAUUUACCGAUGAUGUAA